CCCUUCCGUCUUCACCUCCAACGCCAGCGCGCCGCCACCCCUGCCACGGCGCCGCGCGGCGCCGACGCCCCGAGCGCCGCCGACCCCGACGAGCCCUCUGUCUCCUGCACGAUAAGUCGACACGCCCUGGCUCUAGGGUUCUCUCCGCCGCCACGCCCCCAUCCCUCCCUCUCCGCGGUGCACGGGGCAGGGGGAACCGGGCAACGGCGACGGCGGCGGCGUGAUCUCCGGCAAGCGGUUGGGGCGAGCUGUGGGGACGGGAUAUAGUGGCUAUGGUAAGCUCCUGUAGAUCAGCGGCAAGGAGAAAGAGGGAUUGAGUGAAAGGAAGAUGCAGGGGAGAGAGGGGAAGGAAGGAGAAGAAGAGGAGCUGGGGAAGUGGGGCGUAGGAGAGAGAGAGAGAGAGGCCGGAAGGAAUGAGGAGAAGGAGAGAUGGCAGGGAGCAGCCUGUGUGGUUGCUCCGGUGAUGGCAUCCGGCGGGGUCAGGGGGGUUAACGCCCUUGCCAUGGUCGAGGAAGCUGGUUCAUGGAGUUCCCGGAGGCCGGCCUUAAGAUAUGUGCAGCAGCGAGCGAGUGGAAAGAUAGCUUGUGCGGUCGGGAGACAAUUGAUGCUAAGAAAAACAAUGUAAGUUAAUUAGGUGAGGAGAUGAAGAAGAACGAGGAGUUUUGGGGGACAGAGAUCAAGUGGCGGCCCUUGAGGAGCGGGGACGGAUGCCGCGUCCGUACGCCGACAGGGAGAGCGUACCCAGGAUAAUCAGAGAUAAGGCAGAGGGUGAGGACGGAAGCCUUGCAGGGAAGAGAAGCAAGCUCGAGCUGUAGGUUACAAUUUGGUCCUGGGAAGAGCUGAUUUUGGUGAAGCUAGGGUUCUACGUCCAUGGCGAAUUCUGCAAACACCACAGGUUCGUCCAACCAAGGGGAAAGGAGGCCUGUGUCAAUCGUUUCCCUCAAUGCCAUCCAAGUGACAACGAUGUGCUUUGCAGUUUACUCCUAGGCAUGGCCACACGAUCUGCAACGGUGCAGUCACCGCAUGGUCCCUCAGUAAGAAGUACCCACUCCUCUCUCAUUUCGUCAAGGGACUGCCUACUCUUGCUAUUCUCACCUGCAGCCUGCCCCACUUAGGCACUUAGUCCAAUGAUAAGUCGAUGCAGGUCCUUCGAUCCACAAUAAUAAACCAGCGAGUAAUGCAUGCUACUAUUUCUUAUUAUCUUCUAUAAACUCUAAAUUUAAUGCUCCUCGCAAAAAAACUCUAAUUUAAUGCGCACUAUAUUGAUGCAAAAAUAUGCAACCUCGAUUCAGUUUUGUUUCAUCAAGAUCCUCUAUUCUUUCCCCUACUUUUCGUGAUCUGCACAUAAAAGAAUGGUUGGUAUGAUCCUUUCUAUUCACGUGUUGUAUCUUUAUAUGCUUAACUUGAUCAAUUGUUCUUCGCACUUUUGCAGUUUACUAAUGGCUGAGUCUAUAGGAUGAUUCUGUUGUAUUGCCAGAACUUAUUUUCCAACAUUAUGCUCUAUCUGAAUUAUUGUUAUUGGAGUGUCCUAACUUCAUCAUUUGUUUAGUCAAGCGGCAUCAUUGUGCACAUAUGUGGAAUGAGUCUAUAGGAUGAUUCCGUUGUAUUGCCAGAACUUAUUUUCCAACAUUAUGCUCUAUCUGAAUUAUUGUUAUUGGAGUGUCCUAACUUCAUCAUUUGUUUAGUCAAGCGGCAUCAUUGUGCACAUAUGUGGAAUUGGGCUUAAUGUUUCCCAUUAAGUUAUAAAUUGUUACAAGAAUCUUUUUUGAUCAAAGUAGACAGUAUUAGAACCAAACGUUCCUACAUUGGCCAUAUAGUUUACCAACGUCCUUGAUUUCAGUUAUCAACAAAAGGCAUGCAUACAUUUAGCUACAUUAUAGCCAUCUAUAUAUAUCCAUUAGACUGUAUACUUGCAAAUAUUUGAGGUGUUUGUAGGAGCGGCUAAUCCAGAGAUGAGUUGGUGACAAUACAUAAUUGAGAGAAUUGCAUGAGUGCCUCACCAUUUUGACAGCCUUCCAUGGUCUACGUUUUAUGAGCAGAACUUCUUUGGUUAAUCUCUGACCCUUUCUAGAUGUAAGGAAAAAUAGUCAAACAAUGGCCAUUAGAUAUUUAGGAAAGGCCACUAAAGAUUAUUGCACCAUUUGAAAAUGAAAAUUUUGAAUCUUUCAUGCAGUUUGCGCAUUUAUAUGACCCAAGUACUGAUGAUGUCGGUCAGUGCAUUUGUUGAGUUUUUCUACUUUUCUUAAUUGAAUAUAUCAGUUUUGUCUCAUAAGGGACAUACCCAGAUUGCAAUCUCAUUGCUAAAGAAAUGCAUUGCUCCAACUCCAGUUAGCCAUCGCACAGCGGAGCUAAUUAAGUGUCUUUCCAGGUUUAGCAUAUUCUAAAAGAAUUGUACUUGCACAUCUAUGUGUUCUGACAGUAUGUGAAGCUCAAGUAGAACUGUAUAACCAGUCUAAAGAUAAUAUAUUUCUGAACACUGCAAGUCACUCCAAAUUGUCUCUUUCUUUGAAUGCUUGACCUAGCCAAGUUUUGUUUUAUUUUCAGGUCUCAUUCCCUUUUGUUUGGCCUACAUGAGCGCAUCUAUGUGGUGAGGUUCAAUUAAGAAAAAAUAGUGAUCCAGUUUCUUUGAUGAUGUUGUGUAUAAUUGAUUAUCAUGCAUGUUUCCAUCACCACCAAUUAUAAUGGUACCUUUGGUUAUUCCCCAAGCCUGAAAGAGGAAGACUUAAAAAGUAAUUUUCUUUAGAUGAAGAAUGUCACAAACAUUUAAUUUUCAUUGCAAAAUUGAUAACAUUUACUAACCAUUUUUUCCAUUCUAGCACCGAGUAAGUGUUUGGGAGUUGGAAUAUAUUCUCACGUAGGAUCUCGGCUGCAAAUGAUUACAUAGAAGCUCCUUUAGUAUUUGGUUGUUUAGAGGAUUUAGCUUUUAUUAUUAGGGUAAUACUACGAUAAGUUAGCGGCGGUGUUUUUCAGAAGUAACAUUAUACCUCAUGCUAAUAUAUAACGCUACUGGUGAAAGGUGCUAAUGUAGAGAACUCUACAAAUUAGUUAAUGCCUAGAUUUUUUGACCUAUUUUUGUUACUCAAGGAGGGAGAGAUAGAGAGUAAUAAGAAAAAGAAGAGGUCAUUGCUCGCCCGGUUUCUUCCAAUAUUAGAAGAUUCGUCAAGGAUCAAAUCAAAGUAGAGUGAGCAAUUCAUCUACAAUUCGGAGUAGAAGAAAGGGGAUCCAUCAAUAGAAAAGUUCAGGCUCGCUAUGAUGUAAACGCGCAGCCAACUUUCAGGUGAUGAAAUUCAGUUCUAAUUUUGUUCUCUUUUGACUGUGUAGUUUUUGUAACUGAACUGCGUCUUCUUGCAUGUAAUUAAGGCUCACACACCAAUGUCCUAGGAUGUACUAGAAAAUCCUAUAGGAGUAAAUAUUUAACUUUCUGAUGUAAUAAGAAUGUCAAAGUUGUUUUGUUAUCGCGGUGCUCCGUUUGUUGGUUACAUGUAUAUUAGUCCAAUAUUCCUACCAUAAAAAGCUACUACAGGAAGAUGCCACAAUCUCCGCAGGCAAGUGGUGGCGGUGAGUCUGUCAUGGAGGGCAGAUUCGACGAUGGAGUGGCUAUCACUGCAGAAGGCAUGCCGCUAGCCACACAGACGACCAUCUGCGCCGCCCUCGGCAAUAAUUAUGUAACCAGCAAGGACUUGCGAUGAAAUUUUCAGGUUGUUGAUUCAUAUCAUAGAGGCUUGCGUCGUGCAAAGGCACUGGUGGCGGCCUAGAUCCAUGUGUAAUACAUAUGAGCUUGCAAGGGAUGCAGGUAUGUGGUGGUGUUGAUGGUGGGCAGGGAUUGUUUGGAUGCAGCUUGCAGUUGUGCCGCGAGGUGGGUGGUGGAAGGGCAUGUGAUUUUUUCCCGUUGCAACGCACGGGCAUUUUUGCUAGUAAUAAUAAAGCACGGAUUGACUCUUUGGGUUCACCGUCACAAUACACUUCUUUUCAUGAAUUUACGCUUUCAGUUUUUUUCCAUUAAUUUUGAUCGACAGUCCGUCCAAUUGCUGCGAGGUGGUACUAAAAACUUUUUCCAUCCAAUUGGUCCACGUCCACAUUCUCUUAUUGGGCCUGCAUGCACGCUUCUGUAUUUG